rnacentral:rRNA from 1 species
GAUGAACGCUGGCGGCGUGCCUACCACAUGCAAGUCGAGAGAUCUUCUUCGGAAGAGAGCGGCGGACGGGUGAGUAACGCGUGGGUAACCUGCCCUGUACACACGGAUAACAUACCGAAAGGUAUACUAAUACGAGAUAAUAUGCUUUUAUCGCAUGGUAGAAUUAUCAAAGCUUUUGCGGUACAGGAUGGACCCGCGUCUGUUUAGCUAGUUGGUAAGGUAAAGGCUUACCAAGGCGACGAGCAGUAGCCGACCUGAGAGGGUGAUCGGCCACAUUGGAACUGGGACACGGUCCAAACUCCUACGGGAGGCAGCAGUGGGGAAUAUUGCACAAGGGGCGAAAGCCUGAUGCAACAACGCCGCUUGAGCGAUGAAGGCCUUCGGGUCGUAAAGCUCUGUCCUCAAGGAAGAUAAUGACGGUACUUGAGGACGAAGCCCCGGCUAACUACGUGCCAGCCGCCGCCGUAA